rnacentral:rRNA from 1 species
GACGAACGCUGGCGGCGUGCUUAACACAUGCAAGUCGAACGAAGCCGUGCCGACGGAUCCCUUCGGGGUGAAGAUGGCGCAUGCUUAGUGGCGGACGGGUGAGUAACGCGUGAGCAACCUGCCCUAAAGUGGGGGACAACAGUUGGAAACGACUGCUAAUACCGCAUAAGACCACGAUCCUGCAUACGAUCGAGGUAAAAGGAUUUAUUCGCUUUAGGAUGGGCUCGCGUCCCAUUAGAUUGUUGGUGAGGUAACGGCUCACCAAGUCGACGAUGGGUAGCCGACCUGAGAGGGUGAUCGGCCACACUGGAACUGAGACACGGUCCAGACUCCUACGGGAGGCAGCAGUGGGGAAUAUUGGGCAAUGGGCGAAAGCCUGACCCAGCAACGCCGCGUGAAGGAAGAAGGCCUUCGGGUUGUAAACUUCUGUCCUUGGGGACGAAACAAAUGACGGUACCCAAGGAGGAAGCUCCGGCUAACUACGUGCCAGCAGCCGCGGUAAUACGUAGGGAGCGAGCGUUGUCCGGAAUUACUGGGCGUAAAGGGUGCGUAGGCGGGUUCAUGUGUCAGAUGUGAAAUCCCGGAGCUUAACUCCGGUGUUGCAUUUGAAACUGUGAACCUUGAGUACAGGAGAGGCAAGUGGAAUUCCUAGUGUAGCGGUGAAAUGCGUAGAUAUUAGGAGGAACACCAGUGGCGAAGGCGGCUUGCUGGACUGUAACUGACGCUGAGGCACGAAAGCGUGGGGAGCAAACAGGAUUAGAUACCCUGGUAGUCCACGCCGUAAACGAUGGAUACUAGGUGUAGGGGUCGAUAGGCCUCUGUGCCGUAGCAAACGCAUUAAGUAUCCCGCCUGGGGAGUACGAUCGCAAGGUUGAAACUCAAAGGAAUUGACGGGGGCCCGCACAAGCAGCGGAGCAUGUGGUUUAAUUCGAAGCAACGCGAAGAACCUUACCAAGGCUUGACAUCCUCUGACAGCUAUAGAGAUAUAGCUUCCCUUCGGGGCAGAGUGACAGGUGGUGCAUGGUUGUCGUCAGCUCGUGUCGUGAGAUGUUGGGUUAAGUCCCGCAACGAGCGCAACCCUUAUUGCUAGUUGCCAGCAUGUUAUGGUGGGAACUCUAGUGAGACUGCCGGGGACAACUCGGAGGAAGGUGGGGACGACGUCAAAUCAUCAUGCCCCUUAUGUCCGGGGCUACACACGUGUUACAAUGGGUGGGACAGAAGGCAGCUACUUAGCGAUAAGAUGCUAAUCCACGAAACCCACUCCCAGUUCGGAUUGGAGUCUGCAACCCGACUCCAUGAAGCUGGAUUCGCUAGUAAUCGCGCAUCAGCCAUGGCGCGGUGAAUACGUUCCCGGGCCUUGUACACACCGCCCGUCAAGCCAUGGAAGCCGGGGGUACCUGAAGUCCGUAACCGUUAAGGAUCGGCCUAGGGUAAAACUGGUAACUGGGGCUAAGUCGUAACAAG